CUUCUUCCCAAGCAGUUUUACUUUUCAAGCAAAAACGGGAAAAACUGGCGCAUAUAUAUGUUAAUUUCGAAUUAGCUAAGUUCAUAUUAUGUUAUUUUAUCAAAAUAAGAACUAUAAUUUUUUUUUAUUUUUUUUAUUUUAACAGUUAUGAUUAAAAUAUAGUGAAAAUGAUACAAAAAUAAAUAUUAAGAACUAUUUAUUUUGCAACGUCAAUGAACAAUUAUACACGCAUGUACCUGCGUACCAACACGGCCGUAUAUGUAUAAAUACAUAAUAUAUAAGUACAUAAUAUAUAAGUACAUAAUAUAUAUAUAUAUAUAACCAUGCCUACCAAUUGGAUUAUGUAUAACCUUAUAAUAUGAACAAAACAUUUUUCAAUUUUAUUAUUAAAAGAUUGUACACUCGUAGUGGGGGGGCUAAGAAAACCACAAAAAGUAACGAAUGAUCCAGAAAGUAUUAAUCGAAAAGUUUAUUGGUGUUUUGAACAUAAACCUAUUAAAAGAACAGUAAUUAAUUUGAUAUAUUCACAUAAUGAACUAAAACUUUUUUCAAAAUUAUUAAAUCAAACAAAUGUUGGUGCUUCACUUAUCCACGAACUGUCAUUGGAUGGUCCAUAUACUGGAUUUGUUCCAUCAGACACAGCAUUAAACUUAAUUAGUUCAAAAAGUUUAAAUAAAUUAUAUGAAGAUGAUAACAAAUUAUAUGAGUUUGUUUUAAAUCAUUUUACAAAGGACUUCUGGCUUUACAGAGAUUUGUAUGGCUCUUCAUAUCAACCUUGGUUAAUGUACAACGAAAAAAGAGAUGCUCCAUCCAAAAUUACAAAUCUAAUGAAUAAAGACUUGAUUGUAAAAAUUGAUGGAGAAUUUAAAAAUUGUGAUCAUUCAAUUUAUUUAAACGGGUCGAAAAUUAUAAGACCUAACAUGAAGUGCCAUAAUGGAGUUAUACACAUUAUAGAUAGGCCUAUCAUAUUCCAGUAAUGAAUGCGACACAAUAAUAAACAUUUGUUUAAUAUCA
rnacentral:lncRNA from 1 species